rnacentral:lncRNA from 1 species
CUAUUUCAAAGCUUGCAUUAUGCUCUUCCCUUUUUCCUCUUUCAGCUUGCUCUUACAGGAGAGAUUUCCCCAGAUUAAAUUAAUAGCUCUCUAGUUACACACCGGAAGAAGAACUAAGUCUUAAGGAAGGUGCUUGACUACCAUCCCGAACUGCACUGUAAAUGGCAUCUAUCUAUUUCAAAGUGACAUUUAUUUAUUUCAGCAUGUCCAUGAUGGGUUCCACAAUUUUAGCUUCUUCUGCAUUUCAUAUAUUUUGAAAAAUUUCCUUUCUCUUGAUUAUUGGUUAUGCGUUUUUAAACUGUCAUCAAAUGUACUUUGAAUCUCUAGGAGUAGGAGAGAAAUCGUGUUAUUUUAAAAUUCUGUUUAAACAAAAUCAAUCCAACAGAAAUUCAUUAUUCAUAUCUUAAUAUUCAUCUGCCAUUGACCUUCAGGAAAAGAUAUGGGUUUUUAACAUAGAAAAUGAACUUAAAGACUUAACAUUGGUGAUCUUUUGUAAUUACAUGUAUCUCAUAUUCUACUUUGAAAAUAUUCCUUCAUUAAAUAUUUAAGUAUGUGUGUUACCAUGUCUGUUUGGGAAAACUCACUUUCAUUGACUCCUUUUUAAAUUUGA